UUCACAUCGACGGGGUGGUUUGGCUCCUCGAUGUCGGCUCAUCGCCUCCCGGGGCUGUAGGCGGUCCCAAGGGUUGGGCUGUUCGCCCACUAAAGCGGUACGCGAGCUGGGUUCAGAACGUCGUGAGACAGUUCGGUCCCUAUCCGUCGUGGGCGUAGGAAAUUUGAGAGGAGCUGUCCUUAGUUCGAGAGGACCGGUAUGGACAUACCUCGGGUGUACCAG
rnacentral:rRNA from 1 species